UAGGGCGCAAGCGUUGUCCGGAAUUAUUGGGCGUAAAGCGCGUGUAGGCGGCUUUGCAAGUCGGGUGUGAAAGCCCUCAGCUCAACUGAGGAAGUGCGCCCGAAACUGCAGAGCUUGAGUGCCGGAGAGGGUGGCGGAAUUCCCCAAGUAGAGGUGAAAUUCGUAGAUAUGGGGAGGAACACCGGUGGCGAAGGCGGCCACCUGGACGGCAACUGACGCUGAGACGCGAAAGCGUGGGGAGCAAACAGG
rnacentral:rRNA from 1 species